AGCUCACUGGUCGAGUGAUCCUGCGCCGAAGAUUUCCGGGGCUAAAACUUACUACCGAAGCUACGGCAUCAGUAAUGAUGGGUAGGGGAGCUUCCCAUACGGGUUGAAGCAUGACCGUAAGGACAUGUGGACAGUAUGGGAGUGCGAAUGUUGGCAUGAGUAGCGAGAUGUGGGUGGGAAUCCCACAGGCCGUAAACCCAAGGUUUCCAGGGGAAGGUUCGUCCGCCCUGGGUUAGUCGGGACCUAAGCUGAGGCCGAAAGGCGUAGGUGAUGGACAACAGGUUGAUAUUCCUGUACUACCGAU
rnacentral:rRNA from 1 species